UUAACACAUUGCUUUUUCCUAGAAAUAUGAAAUCUGAAUGUGGUAUAAGCCAUGAAGUCCUGCCUCAAAUGGAGACCAGUAGUUGAGAUUUCAGAGCUGGCCUACAGCUGGGACCACUAGAGAUUUACAGUUGCUGCAGCAGCACUUUGACAAACCCUGCACGUAAUGCCUUGAGGACAGGCUGCAGUGACUGAAGUCAGUGGAGCCUUGAGAGACAGCACCAUGGCUCUGCCAGCUGACCGCAAGACUCCUGCCCAUCUGGCUUCAUAGUGGCUCAGAUGAAAAGAAGAAAUGAAAAUCUCUUUACACAGAGGUGUGGGGAAAAUUGCCUUAUUGUGGUGUUUAUGAAACUAAACAGAUCCAUGGGUGUAAGGGUCCACAUAUGAUUUGGUGAAUGCUGCCCUUCAUAUACGCCUCAAUAAGAUGGACCAAAUACUCUUCAGCAGGCCUCCAAAGGCAUCUUGCUCUCUUUGCUGAUUGAAUAUGGAACCUAAUCCAGUUUUCCGAAGGUGGGUUGGAUGGUAUGCCUCAUUUCACUUUUAGGAUGUAAUUGUUCCUGCCAGGAUUAACUUGAAGCAAAGGGAACUGCAAGUACUGUCAAGGAGGAAGUGAGACAAUGGCAUGGAGAUAAGGCAUCUUUGGGUCUAACGUCAAAAAGUUAAACAAUGGUCAACCAAUUGACUAGGAGAAUGUUAAUUUUAGGUGCCAAGCAGGGCUGCAUAGUCCAUUUGCUAAGGCUAAGGUUCAAACUGAAACAUUAAUCGAUUCAAUUUAGAAAGUCUGAAGUAAAGUAUCGUAAAGGUAGAGCUUGGGUGGCUGCAUCUUCAUACAGUACAGGUGAUCAAAAGACAACAGUGUGUCCACAACCAUGCUGU